UAUAACUCUGAAUGGUGGCGUCCCUGCUGCCUGGUUCUAGACUUCAGUGUCCUGGAGCAUCAAUGAAGCCGUUGGAAGCCUCAGUGCACAGCUCUGGUUUAGCUACAUCGGGAGCCUAAAGGUUUUACUUGCUGUUGGCACUCACAGAUCCAUAGCUGAGCAGGGGGUUUAAGUUCGGUCUGUGAGGUGAUGGAGAAGGCUCAGAAGUCAAAGGCCUUUGCAGGUGGGAUGCCAGACAGGACCUCUGUGUGAGAGAACAGAGAAGAGCGGAAGAGCUCCUGUAGAGGAGUCCUAUGGUAGCCCUUGAGCAGCUGGGUGGCCGGUAGCCAGAAGACCUACCUAGCCUGCCAGCCCUGCACUCGUUCCUGUGGCAGUGAGCUCACACCAACUCUCAAUGCCCACAUGGCAGAAACCCAUCCUGAAGGUGCCGCCUCACUGAGAGAUGUUGUCCCUGGAGGUCAGCCGUCUGUUCAGAUGUUCCGAUACACUUCUCUCUGCCAGCAGGGCCCGUGGCGGAUGAGGGCGAGCAGCAGUAUCACUAGGAUACCAGACACCAGGCAAAAGGGGUCAAACCAGUCAUCAGCGAGAGCCGCACCAGGUCAUAACGGGGUAAAUACUGCUCAGCAGUUGACUUUAAGACACUGGAUGCUGGAUGUGAGUCACCAGCAGCUGUGCCACAGGUUGGGCUGUUUAAUUGAAAGAUAUUCUACAUAAGCACCAGGAAUCUUUAUUUCCCUCUUGGCGUCUUGUACCAGACAGUUUUUUUUCCCCCAAGGGAAAAAAAAAGUAAUGUCUGCCUUCUUUUUUUGUUGCCUUCAUUAAAAAAAAAUGCCAUUUCCUCUAUUUCGGAUGGUUCUCUCAAUCCAUCUGAUAUGUUUAUAUUAUUUCCCAAUAAAAGGCUCAUGCAAUAGAAAGAGCCAAAGCCCUGUUACCACCAAUCCUUCCCUCUAACUAUGAAACCAGACGGAGACUGACACAGUGGGCACGAAGCCAACAACAACAACAACAACAACAACAAAUAGCCCAUUGCAGCAGCUCCAGCGCCUGGGACAGGAUCAAGACCAGCUUUUGCUAUAAAGUAACAAACUUCAGCACGCGUAAGAUACAGCAGUGGUUCCUGAUCCCUCCAUAUUCUCACUGACUUAAGAUGUAAGAAGAGGAAUGCGUUUCUCUGGUGUUUCUGGGCAGUAAGAUUUACUCAUAGAUUGUUUUCAUCUAAAAGAUGAAGAAAUUGAUAUCCAAGAAAUUAGGCACCAUGCUUAAUUUCAUAUAGUCAUAAAAUAGGAUAAAUGUGAAGCAAAUCUCCUGAUUUUAAGUCCUGUGCCUAUAUUGGGCCUCCUUCCCUUCUGCAUGCUAUACUGGUUUUCAACACAUUAAAAAAUUCUGGAGCACAUGAAUGCUAAUGAACACAACUUUGUAACAUCUCUGAUUUUUAAAGUUGUAGGAGAAUAUCUGAUACCAAGGAUGUUUAGGGG